rnacentral:rRNA from 1 species
ACGUCGACACCUACGGAAGGCAGCAGUGGGGAAUAUUGCACAAUGGGGGAAACCCUGAUGCAGCGACGCCGCGUGAGCGAAGAAGUAUCUCGGUAUGUAAAGCUCUAUCAGCAGGGAAGAAGAUGACGGUACCUGACUAAGAAGCACCGGCUAAAUACGUGCCUGCAGCCGCGGUAAUCUGAGCGGGCUGGCAAGGC